rnacentral:rRNA from 1 species
UUAGAGUUUGAUCCUGGCUCAGGAUGAACGCUAGCGGCAGGCCUAAUACAUGCAAGUCGAACGAUAGUUACCAGCUUGCUGGUAGCGAAAGUGGCGCACGGGUGCGUAACGCGUAUGCAACCUACCUUAAUCAGGGGGAUAGCCCGAAGAAAUUCGGAUUAACACCGCAUAAAAUCACAGCACAGCAUUGUGCAAUGAUCAAAUAUUUAUAGGAUUAAGAUGGGCAUGCGUGACAUUAGUUAGUUGGCGGGGUAACGGCCCACCAAGACCACGAUGUCUAGGGGAUCUGAGAGGAUGACCCCCCACACUGGUACUGAGACGCGGACCAGACUCCUACGGGAGGCAGCAGUAAGGAAUAUUGGUCAAUGGAGGCAACUCUGAACCAGCCAUGCCGCGUGCAGGAAGACAGCCCUCUGGGUCGUAAACUGCUUUUAUUCGGGAAUAAACCUACUUACGUGUAAGUAGCUGAAUGUACCGAAGGAAUAAGGAUCGGCUAACUCCGUGCCAGCAGCCGCGGUAAUACGGAGGAUCCAAGCGUUAUCCGGAUUUAUUGGGUUUAAAGGGUGCGUAGGCGGCUUUUUUAAGUCAGGGGUGAAAGACGGUGGCUCAACCAUCGCAGUGCCCUUGAUACUGAAGAGCUUGAAUACAUUAGAGGUAGGCGGAAUGUGACAAGUAGCGGUGAAAUGCAUAGAUAUGUCACAGAACACCGAUUGCGAAGGCAGCUUACUAUGAUGUUAUUGACGCUGAGGCACGAAAGCGGUGGGGGAUCAAACAGGAUUAGAUACCCUGG